rnacentral:rRNA from 1 species
CCUACGGGAGGCAGCAGUAGGGAAUAUUGCUCAAUGGGGGAAAGCCUGAAGCAGCAACGCCGCGUGGAGGAUGAAGGUUUUCGGAUUGUAAACUCCUUUUGUUAGAGAAGAUAAUGACGGUAUCUAACGAAUAAGCACCGGCUAACUCCGUGACAGCAGCCGCGGUAAUACGGAGGGUGCAAGCGUUAAUCAGAAUCACUGGGCGUAAAGCGCGCGUAGGCGGGAUAGCAAGUCAGAUGUGAAAUACUAUGGCUUAACCAUAGAAUUGCAUGUUAAACUGUUAUUCUAGAGUAGGGGAGAGUGAGGUGGAAUUCUGGGUGGAGGGGUAAAAUCCGUAGAGAUCAAGAGGAAUACUCAUUGCGAAGGCGACCUGCUAGAACAUAACUUACGCUGAUGCGCGAAAGCGUGGGGAGCAAACAGGAUUAGAUACCCCCUGUAGUC